AGGAAAUAAAGUGUCCUGCCUCCUCCACCCUCCCCUCUUGUGCACCCACCACCACCAGCCGGAGAUCAAUCUAUUAUGUGUGUGAUCAUUUAGAGUUAUAAAUCCAAUCAGAGGAUUAUUCAAAACGGUGAGUGUGAUCGAGGGGAGAAGCAGAUCAUGAAGUGGAGAAAGGGAGAAGAGGCACUGCAAGGAGUUGUAGAGCAGAGUGCUCUAGGUGAUCAGGGAAGUAAGCUGCUGCAUAAGGAGCUCCUGCAGCCAGCCAGCUCCCCCAGCGCCUGCUGUGCACUACGAGUUACCUUGGACGCUGUGUGGUGGCGCUGGGGUUGACAUAGAUCCGGGCAUGUUAUGCGUGGUUAGAGGGCUACGGACGCAUGAUGAAAUCAAAGGCUUCCGGAACGCCGCCGACAGUGGAUUGGCAAACACUUGAUGUUGAAGGGGUAUAAGUAAGAAUGAGAAUGAGUCCAAAGAAGGCUGACAGUUCAAAAUCACAUACAAAGAAUAGGAAGAGUUGUAUCAUCAGUUCAUAUCAGAAGAAGCUGCGUAUGGAGUCCCAGUUAAUGUCAAUAUGGAGGAUCCAGUAGCAGUCCGACUCAACAGAGGGCCCUGGUGCAAAUAUUUUUUGGCAAUCCAUGAAGUUAACUCUGUAAUAAGCAAUAGUAAUAUUAUACAUGCUUAUUGUCUUUAUUAUGAUAAUGAUAUAUAUAUAUAUAUGUGCGUGUAUAUAUUUAUAUUAAACGUGCAUUUGUUUCAUUAUAAAUGCACAUUAGUAAGUGAGACAAAUAUCCAAACG